CAGUCGAGCGGAACGACUUAACUGAACCUUCGGGGGACGUUAAGGGCGUCGAGCGGCGGACGGGUGAGUAAUGCCUAGGAAAUUGCCCUGAUGUGGGGGAUAACCAUUGGAAACGAUGGCUAAUACCGCAUGAUGCCUACGGGCCAAAGAGGGGGACCUUCGGGCCUCUCGCGUCAGGAUAUGCCUAGGUGGGAUUAGCUAGUUGGUGAGGUAAUGGCUCACCAAGGCGACGAUCCCUAGCUGGUCUGAGAGGAUGAUCAGCCACACUGGAACUGAGACACGGUCCAGACUCCUACGGGAGGCAGCAGUGGGGAAUAUUGCACAAUGGGCGCAAGCCUGAUGCAGCCAUGCCGCGUGUGUGAAGAAGGCCUUCGGGUUGUAAAGCACUUUCAGUCGUGAGGAAGGUGGUGUAGUUAAUAGCUGCAUUAUUUGACGUUAGCGACAGAAGAAGCACCGGCUAACUCCGUGCCAGCAGCCGCGGUAAUACGGAGGGUGCGAGCGUUAAUCGGAAUUACUGGGCGUAAAGCGCAUGCAGGUGGUUUGUUAAGUCAGAUGUGAAAGCCCGGGGCUCAACCUCGGAAUAGCAUUUGAAACUGGCAGACUAGAGUACUGUAGAGGGGGGUAGAAUUUCAGGUGUAGCGGUGAAAUGCGUAGAGAUCUGAAGGAAUACCGGUGGCGAAGGCGGCCCCCUGGACAGAUACUGACACUCAGAUGCGAAAGCGUGGGGAGCAAACAGGAUUAGAUACUCUGGUAGUCCACGCCGUAAACGAUGUCUACUUGGAGGUUGUGGCCUUGAGCCGUGGCUUUCGGAGCUAACGCGUUAA
rnacentral:rRNA from 1 species